rnacentral:piRNA from 1 species
UGACUGGUUCUGGACUUGAUGGACUAUGU